UGAGCCUACAGAAAAGGUGUGAACUCCGGUCACCUCGGUUUCUGCGUUCCUGUUGAUCACUUUGUGAUGCGUGGCUACCUAUGUCGUCUAUCUUCGUUAUUUCAUUGGAAAUGGCUGAAAGCUUGCUCCUUGGAUGGGCAAAGCCACACGUCUCUGUCGAGACGUUCAUCCUCGAUACUCUAAGCGGUAAUCCUGCGGUAUGAGCGUCCACCACGGCUUGCUAGAGGCUGCCCACCAAAUAUUAGAUGAAAUGCCUAAAACGUUUGUUGUCCACUUGGAAACCAUGAUUUCAGAUGUUGUUCAAUUGCCAAAAUGGGUAAAGCACGCAUGUGGGUCGCAAUAUGUUGUAUACGCACGUGGCUCGGAAUGUUGUAUAAUUCCCAAUUGGGUAAUCUAUGCAAGUGCCGCCUCCCCUUAAUCUGUAUUGGAUGUUCCUUGUGCUGAUGACUUCCCGAAGCAAAAUCUUGUCAUGAUUUAGCUUUCAAAGCAAAUUCUCUGGCCGAAGCUUUCAUGUAAAUUUGUUUUUGUGAAGCAAAUAUUUUGAGCUUCGGUGCUACUGUGCUGUUUUGGGGUCUCUGUUUAAGACGCAUAUGUUUAUGCCGGUGAUAAUCUGUGCCAGGUUUCCUGGUGUGGGAGUUGUCUAAUAGACAUGUGCGCAGCAGCGCAAAGUAUGUGGUGUCUAAAGUGCAUGAUAUCUAUUUGAAAAAUGCUUGAGCGAGGUUGUGUUAUGGGGCCGGACCCAUGGUCAUCUUAUGGAAGAGCAAUUAUGAUGUUGCAGUCGAUCUGCGUUAAAGCUAAUUCUGCAUAAAAGAUCGUCUUCUCGAUUAGAACAGUGGAAGGGCAAUGUAUUUGUGCUCAGUCUUGCAAUGUGGAAGACUUCUUGCUUUGCAUCUUUGAAAGAAGGAUGCUGACCAGUGGUCCUCUGUUUGGAGAAGGCAGCUUCGAAUUACUGACCUGUAUGGACGUGAUGGCAUGGGACAGCCUCGUUUGAGACUAGAUGCUAGAGAAAUAAUUUUUAGAGAGGCCAAGCCAGCAGAAGAUACAACUGAAUUGUUUAGGGAAUGUUCUGUAAUUGGCUUUUUUAAGAUGAUUUCACGCCUAUUUGAUUGGAAAUGUUAUCAGAUUUACUGGAUUUUUAUGUCAAUGCAUCAGGAAAUGCUAGACAGGAUUUGCGGUGGCGUUGCCUCGCUCUCACCUCUUUGAUUUAUAGGUGUAAAGAAGCUGGGAACGUUGGUGAUACUGAUGCACUUGAAACUUUGUUUAAAAUGCCCAAAUAGAAUAUGGCGUCACCGGCUGCUACUAUUUGGUAGUGAACAGAGAAUUGCUAGAAAAUAAGCUGUAUAGUUGUCUGUGGUGUUGAAAGCAAAACAUGUUAUUCAACGGUUUGCAGUAUUUCCAAUUAUUUUGCUGGCCUGAAAUAUAGUUCACGUAAUGAACUGUAGGUAUAAAACUGAAAACUUUGUGUGGUUGAUGGAGGGCCACAUAUGGAUCAGUCAAAAAUGCCUUUCUGAUAUUUGAGAAAGAGGAGAUUGAGUCCUGUGAGAUGUAUUGUAGGACAUACUUGACUGGACCCUCGUUUAUGGUUUUGGACUUUGGAGAAAUGGUAGUAAGACAUCAAGCUUUUAAAAGUAUUUGAUAGUUCUGUCCUAGUACUCUGAAUAUGGUCUGAAGUCAGGUUGCCACAGAGGAGGAUGACCUCCGAAUCGUGAAUGGAGCAGAAACAGAUCUUGUCCUAAUUUACUGCUUGAAGUCCUCUGUGGAUGUAGUUGAAGGCAAUAAAGGAAAUUUGGAGGACUAUACUUGGUCAUUGUUGGAGUUCUGGACAGCAUAAUAUAGAUUGCAGUUCUAUGCGAACACUUCAUUGGUUAUCAAAGUUUGAACAUGUCUGCAAGCAACAAAGCAUGGAUUAAUUCCACAUAAGAAUCAUUGGGCAUGUAUGGCUGUUGAUCUUCAUUAAACUGGUCAUUUAUGUGCAUUGCAGAAGCUUACCAACGUAAGCAUAAUUCUUUCGGAUGCAAUAAUGCCUUCCCUGCUUAGUGCCUGCAAAUUCAUGGCAAUCAUGAGAUAGGAAGCAUGUGGCAUCAAUGCUUUACUCAACAUUAGGAACUCUUGCUACCAGGGGUUUUCUUGGAUAUGUCUCCAGAGCUUCAAAAUUGUGCAAAGUUUUUAGAAGCAAGGAGUUUGAAAGGACAGUUCAGCUGGCAUUCAUCUGGCUUUACGUUGGAAGCUAAGUGCGUGCAGUCAUGGAAAAUAUUUUAUCCGGUCUUAAGUGGAAGUGGAUAUGCAUAUCCUUAAAAGUUCUUGAAAAACAAAGAACCUGUAUUGGAUGGACUCUUCAAUGUUCUUGAAACACGUAAUUAGUUCUGGAUGAUUUUGGACGCUUGUUAGUUUGGAUAGUUGAGGUGAAGGUGUCAUGUAACUGCUGCAAUGUUUACUUAAUGAUUAGUUCCCAAAUUUUUUCUGA